rnacentral:rRNA from 1 species
AUUGAACGCUGGCGGAAUGCUUUACACAUGCAAGUCGAGCGGCAGCGCGGGGGCAACCCUGGCGGCGAGCGGCGAACGGGUGAGUAACAUAUCGGAACGUACCCUGUCGUGGGGGAUAACACAGCGAAAGCUGUGCUAAUACCGCAUACGACCUGAGGGUGAAAGCGGGGGAUCGCAAGACCUCGCGCGAUAGGAGCGGCCGAUAUCGGAUUAGCUUGUUGGUGAGGUAAAGGCUCACCAAGGCGACGAUCCGUAGCUGGUCUGAGAGGACGACCAGCCACACUGGAACUGAGACACGGUCCAGACUCCUACGGGAGGCAGCAGUGGGGAAUUUUGGACAAUGGGGGCAACCCUGAUCCAGCCAUUCCGCGUGAGUGAAGAAGGCCUUCGGGUUGUAAAGCUCUUUCGGCAGGAACGAAACGGCAGGCUCUAACAUAGCCUGUCAAUGACGGUACCUGAAGAAGAAGCACCGGCUAACUACGUGCCAGCCGCCGCAGUAAAAC